GGUGUUCAGAACACGAAUGUGAAAAAUCAGACCAGGAAGAUCACGGGAAGAUCACGGGAGGGAGCUCAGGAAGCAUCUGGUUUGCAGAGCAUAGCACAGCAGCUUGUACCUGAGACUUCGACAAAUAUCUGGUGAAUAGAUUGGCUUGCAGAGCACAUUCUGCCUGUAGAGAUGAGUUAGCAAGGCCUGUUCCAGGUACCGAGAAUAUAGCAGCAAACACAGCAGACCAGAGCUCUAUCCUGGUGGAAUUCACAUUCAAGUUCGGGAGAUAGAAAACCAAAAUACAUAGGAAAA